rnacentral:rRNA from 1 species
GCAAGUCGAGCGCGAAAACCUUCGGGUGAGUAGAGCGGCGGACGGGUGAGUAACGCGUGGGAAUCUACCUAGUAGUGGGGGACAACUUAUGGAAACGUAAGCUAAUACCGCAUACACCCUACGGGGAAAAGGGGGCUUCGGCUCUCGCUAUUGGAUGAGCCCGCGUUAGAUUAGCUAGUUGGUGGGGUAAAGGCCUACCAAGGCGACGAUCUAUAGCUGGUCUUAGAGGAUGAUC